CCAUGGCUCCUUCUGCCUUGGUGCUGGGUAAGAGAGCAUGACCAUAUAGAGCAGCACAAACAGAAAGAACAGACAAGAGUUCCAACACAGUGUCUCAUCUCUUCCCAGGCAACCUUCCAACAAGGACAAGAGCAAGGAUGUUUUCCACUCCCAGUGCAAUUCAGAAGACUGCAGACUGACAACUAGACUAACAACAGCAAUGGCCAGUGUGACUCCAGCACUUCCUUUGGGGGUUGUGGAACUGGAUUACUUAUGACUGGAACAACAUUCCUUCCAACCCUGUUCAACCAAGAAAAAAGGGCUUACCUGCCAGUCAGGGGAUCCAAGCCUGAGGAAGGAGUCCUGGAGCUUGUUGCUGCUAGCAUAUAUACUUCCUGCCUAAGCCAGUGAGCUGUG